rnacentral:tRNA from 1 species
UAAGUUAAACAAACUAUAAACCUUCAAAGUUUAAAAUGAGAAAUCAAGAGUAUCUUAU